GCUAGUCGCACGGGUUUAGACCCGUGGCGUAUAGCUCAGUAACACGUGGCCAAACUACCCUAUGGACCGUGAUAACCUCGGGAAACUGAGGCUAAUCGCGGAUACCGCAUCCACGCUGGAACUGCCGAAAGCGGGAAACGCUCCGGCGCCAUAGGAUGUGGCUGCGGCCGAUUAGGUAGACGGUGGGGUAACGGCCCACCGUGCCGAUAAUCGGUACGGGUUGUGAGAGCAAGAACCCGGAGACGGACUCUGAGACAAGAGUCCGGGCCCUACGGGGCGCAGCAGGCGCGAAACCUUUACACUGCACGACAGUGCGAUAGGGGGACUCCGAGUGCGAGGGCAUAUAGCCCUCGCUUUUCUCGACCGUAAGGUGGUCGACGAAUAAGGACUGGGCAAGACCGGUGCCAGCCGCCGCGGUAAUACCGGCAGUCCGAGUGAUGGCCGCUGUUAUUGGGCCUAAAGCGUCCGUAGCU
rnacentral:rRNA from 1 species